rnacentral:rRNA from 1 species
AUUGAACGCUGGCGGAAUGCUUUACACAUGCAAGUCGAACGAUGAACCUUAGCUUGCUAAGGGGAUUAGUGGCGAACGGGUGAGUAAUAUAUCGGAACGUGCCUUGUAAUGGGGGAUAACUAGUCGAAAGAUUAGCUAAUACCGCAUACGCCCUGAGGGGGAAAGUAGGGGAUCUUCGGACCUUACGUUAUAAGAGCGGCCGAUAUCUGAUUAGCUAGUUGGUGGGGUAAUGGCCUACCAAGGCGACGAUCAGUAGCUGGUCUGAGAGGACGACCAGCCACACUGGAACUGAGACACGGUCCAGACUCCUACGGGAGGCAGCAGUGGGGAAUGUUGGACAAUGGGCGCAGGCCUGAUCCAGCCAUUCCGCGUGAGUGAAGAAGGCCUUCGGGUUGUAAAGCUCUUUCGCAAGGGAAGAAAACUUACCAUCGAAUAAAUGGUGAGGCUGACGGUACCUUGAUAAGAAGCACCGGCUAACUACGUG